UACAGAGGGUGCAAGCGUUGUUCGGAAUUAUUGGGCGUAAAGAGCUCGUAGGCGGCUUGUUGCGUCGACCGUGAAAACCCGUGGCUCAACUGCGGGCUUGCGGUCGAUACGGGCAGGCUAGAGUUCGGUAGGGGAGACUGGAAUUCCUGGUGUAGCGGUGAAAUGCGCAGAUAUCAGGAGGAACACCGGUGGCGAAGGCGGGGUCUCUGGGGCCGAUACUGACGUGAGGAGCGAAAAGCGUGGGGG
rnacentral:rRNA from 1 species